UUUAGGUAAAUCAACGACUCUGAGGCUUUUUUUUUUUUUUUUAGUUUAGGACUGUUUUUACACGUCCACUGAGAUUCAGAGUUGAAUCUGCACUGUAAUUCGAACUACUCUCAUUGCCCAAAGGUAUCUCAUCAUAUUCUUUCAGAUUUCAGCACUUUUUUUUUGCUUUACAUUCCCGAGCCGCUUUGUCCUACGGGACCUUAACGACCGUGCCUUUGCAGGCGAAUGAACUCAAAGGACUUGCACUGCUAUGAUCUAAAAGUAAUUUAACCAUCUGGACUAGGGUCACGUUUUUCCAGAAGACUGCUGGUGAUACACUAUACACAUGCACUAUAUUGAGCUUAGUCUUAAAAAAAGUAUCCUAUGCUGAAGUGCAACUACCUUUCAGCAAGUAAAGAAAAACUGAAGGGAACUUGGAUAUCUUCCAGCACAUGAAUGCAUCAUAUAUUAAGCAUGGGUAAAAUACAGUCUGGAGAGAUCAGUGGAACAGGAAAGCCACGUAAACCACUAAUUUCAGGAACGCCAAACGUGUUCAGAGUCAUUAAGCAAACACAUUUGCUUCCCAAAGUACUUCAAAUGGACAUUUCCAUUUUACUCUGUUAUAUACAGUGGAGUGAUUAAAAAAAAGAUCACAUUUGACAUUUGCUGACCAUUUGCGUGAAUGUCCAAAGUUGAUGCUAUUAUGCCUAAUGACCUGACACAUUCUCUAUUAGAUUAAAUGAGAUACGUUUGAUGAUAAUGGCAGCGUGGCGACAGUUUGGACACACUACAAAGGUCGCAAUACUGGAAUAUCAAAGACAGAUGGGGUUUAUGUAGUAUAUAUAAUUAUUGGUAAAAUGAAUGGAGUUGAUCAGCCGUGGUUCAAUGUGGCUAUUAGUGGGACAUCAGGUAAACUGGAACAAAUACGUUUUAUGAUUGAUUGUCCUUUAAAUAUCAGGAGACAAUCAAACGUAGCAGUCAUUAAUACUUGCCAGUCAUUAAUAAAAAGGCAUCAAAGAGUCUUUGUCAUUCUGAAAAUGUCUUCAUUUUUCUUGUAUCAUCAUCAUCAUCACAGUGGAAGUGAUCAAGCUUCAACAGCUAAUCAAUCUCAAUGGAAAUAAAUAAAUAAAAAGAUGAGAAUGGGCUUCAACUCUUAAAAUAUUACGGAUAUAAAUCACCUACAAAAAAGUUUAUUGUUCCUUAUCCUUACACAUGAUUACUGCAUAUUGAAUUACAAAAAAAUGCAUUGUUGUAAAAUUGCGAACAGCUUACAGUACAUACAUGAGAUCACAUAUUGUAGCCUAUGAGUUACCAUUGACAGCUGGAUUUAGAUGAUUUCUACAAUGCUGUUCAUGUAUGUAUUUUCAUAUUAAUUUAAAAUAUGCUUCUUUACGUUCAUAUAAAAGUUUAUAUUUCAUUUAAUAGUUAUAAUAAUGUGUUAAGUAAAUUUAUUGUAGAGAAGUAAGGUCCUCUCAGUUAAGAAAAAAACAUUUUAAAAAUUAUAAAAAUACAGUAAAAAGUAAUUAAGAAAAUGAGGAAUCGGCUAAUAACAACGUGUAGACUAGCAAAGCCCCUUUCUAUUUACUGUCUCUGCUAACAAUCAUAUUCAUGCGAUUCAUGCAGAUUGCUGAAUUAAGACGUAAGACUGUUUUAUUGCUGUCAAAAGCUUGAUCUGUCAGACUAUAAACUACUCUGAGGCAGCACCACCACGCGUGUAUUUGUCUUGACAUGCAGCAUAAAGUCUCAUUGCCCAAACCGGUUACCACUUUUGCAACAGGACCAUGUCAACCAGCCUUGUGCUACACAACCUCCAUCCAUCACCAAACAAACAUUUGCCAAUUUUGGCCCCCACUGGGAGCAUUAAAACAAAAGGGAAGCAUGGAGCUAAACAACUACCUCAGCAGUGAUUCCAUCAUAACUGACAGGGGUCUCUAGGGCCACUCAGGGUACCAUGAAGGAGGAUGUCAAGCUGCCCAACUAAGUCCAUCAGACAUUAUUCACCUCUGCGUACCUGCACGCAGCUCGCUGGGGCGUAGUGAAUAGUCCCUCGGUCAGGUGAUUUCCCCGGCUUUAUUCUUGCUUGGGCAGGCUGGAAGUGAGCCGGGUGUAUUGGAACUACUGACCCCUGAAUAAAGAAGGAAGUUUCUAGCUGGAGUGGAUUUUGUGGAAUGAUGCUCAGAGAAUAAAAAUGGAUGAAGAGAUGUAA